rnacentral:sRNA from 1 species
CCAACCACAGCCUCCAGCACCCGAGAGAACGGCCGCCCACAGCACACGUUUUCCGGAGAGGAGGGCGAAGGCCCAAGACCUGGAGAGGUGGGCUCGAGGGAAAGAUCUGGGUCCCACCACUACUUCCUGGAGACGCCGGGGAAAGCAGGCCAUCCUUCGAGCCACCCAUCUCUUCUCCGAUUGGUUAACUGCCUUCUUUUUGCGCUCCGCUGGCUGGUGAUUGGUUGGGAUGCACCGUCUAUCACCUGCUUCCUUAUGGGCAGCUCUCAAAAAAGGCACAAACAAUUGAAGGAUGGAUACCAUGGCAUAUGUUAAAAGCGUGUUGAAAGGAAA